UACGGGAGGCAGCAGUGGGGAAUAUUGCACAAUGGGCGAAAGCCUGAUGCAGCUAUGCCGCGUGUAUGAAGAAGGCCUUAGGGUUGUAAAGUACUUUCAUCGGGGAGGAAAAACAAAACUAAUAAUUUUAUUUCUUGACGUUACCCGAAAAAGAAGCACCGGCUAACUCCGUGCCAGCAGCCGCGGUAAUACGGAGGGUGCUAGCGUUAAUCAGAAUUACUGGGCGUAAAGAGCACGUAGGUGGUUUUUUUAAGUCAGAUGUGAAAUCCCUGGGCUUAACCUAGGAACUGCAUUUUGAAACUGAAAUACUAGAGUAUCGUAGAGGGAGGUAGAAUUCUAGGUGUAGCGAUGAAAUGCGUAGAUAUCUGGAGGAAUACCUGUGGCGAAAGCGGCCUCCUAAACGAAUACUGACACUGAGGUGCGAAAGCGUGGGGAGCAAACAGGAUUAGAUACC
rnacentral:rRNA from 1 species